rnacentral:rRNA from 1 species
UAGGGAAUCUUCGGCAAUGGACGAAAGUCUGACCGAGCAACGCCGCGUGAGUGAAGAAGGUUUUCGAAUCGUAAAACUCUGUUGGUAGAGAAGAACGUUGGUGAGAGUGGAAAGCUCAUCAAGUGACGGUAACUACCCAGAAAGGGACGGCUAACUACGUGCCAGCAG